rnacentral:rRNA from 1 species
GCUCAGAGUUACGUUGGCGGCGUGCGUAACACAUGCAAGUCGAACGAGAACUGGGGAGCUUGCUCCCCGGGGACAGUGGCGAACGGGUGAGUAACACGUGAGUAAUCUGCCCUCGAGCGGGGGAUAACUCCGCGAAAGCGGAGCUAAUACCGCAUGAAACUUUGGAGCAUAAGCUUUCAAAGUCAAAGCUUUCGGGUGCUUGAGGAUGAGCUCGCGGCCUAUUAGCUUGUUGGUAGGGUAACGGCCUACCAAGGCAACGAUGGGUAGCCGGCCUGAGAGGGUGUCCGGUCACACUGGGACUGCGACACGGCCCAGACUCCUACGGGAGGCAGCAGUGGGGAAUUUUGCGCAAUGGGCGAAAGCCUGACGCAGCGACGCCGCGUGGAGGAUGAAGGUUUNCGGAUUGUAAACUCCUGUCAGAGGUGAAGAAAGCCCUUAUGGGUCUGACGGUAACCUCAGAGGAAGCCCCGGCUAACUACGUGCCAGCAGCCGCGGUAAUACGUAGGGGGCAAACGUUGCUCGGAAUUACUGGGCGUAAAGGGUGCGCAGGUGGCUGAGAAAGUCGUUGAUGAAAUCCCGGGGCUUACCCCCGGAACUGUCUUCGAUACUUCUCAGCUUGAGGAUAGUCGAGGAGAACGGAAUUCCCGGUGGAGCGGUGAAAUGCGUAGAUAUCGGGAGGAACACCAGAGGCGAAGGCGGUACUCUAGGCUGAUCCUGACACUGAGGCACGAAAGCUAGGGGAGCGAACGGGAUUAGAUACCCCGGUAGUCCUAGCUGUAAACGAUGGGCACCUAGAUGUAUCCGCGUCUCAUCGGGAGUGUCAGAAGUUAACGGCGAUAAGUGCCCCGACUGGGGAUUACGGUCGCAAGGCUUGAAACUCAAAGGAAUGACCGGGGGCCCGCACAAGCGAUGGAGCAUGUGCUUUAAUUCGACGCAACGCGAAGAACCUUACCUGGGCGUGAACUGCUGGGUUUAGCUUCCUGAAAGGGAAGUGAACCUGCUUGCAGGAGACCAGCAGAGGUGCUGCAUGGCAGUCGUCAGCUCGUGUCGUGAGAUGAUGGGUUAAGUCCCGCAACGAGCGCAACCCUUGCCUUUAGUUGCCAGCGACUCAUGUCGGGUACUCUAAGGGGACUGCCACGGAUAACGUGGAGGAAGAUGGGGAUGACGUCA